GACGAACCGUGCGAACGUUGUUCGGAAUCACUGGGCUUAAAGGGCGCGUAGGCGGCGCGUCAAGUCGGGGGUGAAAGCGUUCGGCUCAACCGGACCAGGGCCCCCGAUACUGACACGCUCGAGGGAGGCAGGGGCCGACGGAACUUCCGGUGGAGCGGUGAAAUGCGUUGAUAUCGGAAGGAACGCCGGUGGCGAAAGCGGUCGGCUGGACCUCUUCUGACGCUGAGGCGCGAAAGCCAGGGGAGCGAACGGG
rnacentral:rRNA from 1 species